GACGAACGCUGGCGGCGCGCCUAACACAUGCAAGUCGAACGAGCGAGAGAGAGCUUGCUUUCUCGAGCGAGUGGCGAACGGGUGAGUAACGCGUGAGGAACCUGCCUCAAAGAGGGGGACAACAGUUGGAAAUGACUGCUAAUACCGCAUAAGCGCACAGCAUCGCAUGAUGCAGUGUGAAAAACUCCGGUGGUGUGAGAUGGACCCGCGUUGGAUUAGCUAGUUGGCAGGGCAGCGGCCUACCAAGGCGACGAUCCAUAGCCGGCCUGAGAGGGUGAACGGCCACAUUGGGACUGAGACACGGCCCAG
rnacentral:rRNA from 1 species